AGUGAACGCUGGCGGUAGGCCUAACACAUGCAAGUCGAACGGCAGCACAGUAAGAGCUUGCUCUUACGGGUGGCGAGUGGCGGACGGGUGAGGAAUACAUCGGAAUCUACUUUUUCGUGGGGGAUAACGUAGGGAAACUUACGCUACUACCGCAUACGACCUACGGGUGAAAGCAGGGGAUCUUCGGACCUUGCGCGAUUGAAUGAGCCGAUGUCGGAUUAGCUAGUUGGCGGGGUAAAGGCCCACCAAGGCGACGAUCCGUAGCUGGUCUGAGAGGAUGAUCAGCCACACUGGAACUGAGACACGGUCCAGACUCCUACGGGAGGCAGCAGUGGGGAAUAUUGGACAAUGGGCGAAAGCCUGAUCCGGCCAUACCGCGUGGGUGAAGAAGGCCUUCGGGUUGUAAAGCCCUUUUGUUGGGAAAGAAAAGCAGCAGGUUAAUACCCCGCUGUUCUGACGGUACCCAAAGAAUAAGCACCGGCUAACUUCGUG
rnacentral:rRNA from 1 species